rnacentral:lncRNA from 1 species
AGAGGAUUUUGGAGAGCGAGGUUGCCCGAUGUGGUAUCAGUUUGUAGUGUUGGAAUUAUUUAAAAUAUCUUCCCAAAAUCAUUUUGUGAACUAACAUGUAACUCUAAUCUAUCAUUUCAGACAAAUCCCUUGAUUUUUUCCCACAGCUCUCCCUCUUUGUGUUAGAGUUCCAUAAAUGUAAUGCCCAAUAUGUGAAGAGAAAAUUAACAUUCCCCUUUUUCUACUUGCAGACUUCCAAACAUUUCCUGAAACCUUAAACUCUUACUGAUUCUUUAAACUGUCCCCAUUCCACUUUUCUCUGCAGCAAGUAGCUCUCAAUGUGUAGUCCUCAGAUGGGCAGCAUCCACUGGAAAACUGCUAGAAAUGCACAUUCUCAGGCCUCACCCAAGAUCUGCUGAAUCAGAAGCUCUGGGGUGGAACCCAACAACCUGCAUUUUAACAAGCCUUCCAGAUGACGCUGAAGCAUGCUCCAUACUGACAACUAAUGCAAUGCAUUAUGUCUUCAUGUGACCAGCAGCACCAACUGCAAGACUGUCUGUCACCUGAGUGUGGCUUGCAACCAAGCACAUGUGGGAAUUCAGUGAAGGCCCCUGCCUUGACCUCAUUAUCAACAGGAACCAGCCAAAGACAGUGGUCACUCUUUAUCCAUGUAAAUAGACACCGUAAUUUAUUUUCAAAAAAAUCCAAAGGAAAAAAUUUAAGGCCAUUGUAAUACCAGAAAUCUGCACUGUGAGUACUUGGAAGAUGACAGUUGAUAAAGCUGGGAGGUUUACAAUGACUAGAUUGUCAGAAGGGGUUAAAUGUAUGUUCUAAUAAUAAGAGAACAAGAAAAAAGAAUGCCCUGGUGAUGUGUAAAUUUAAAAUACAGUGGUACAUUUUAGGAAAACCAAAAAUCAAUCCAUGAACUUUGAAAUGAAGGGAGAUAGUUCUGAGAGAACUAAAGGAACUGGACUUGAGAUCCAAGAUUACAAUUUACUCAAUUUUUUUUAUAGAUACUUUAAGUAUGGAAAAUUUAAUUUUAUUCUUAUAGAUAGUAAGGUAUAAUACAGAAUAUAAAGUCCUUUAAAUUAAGGUGGUUAUAGAUCCUGGUUUUCUUGACACUCUUAUAUCAUGCUGAUGGUUCCUGUGUGAAUAUUAACAUUACCCCCUUCAAUUCACAAGUGUCUUGCGCUGUGUGUGGGUGUGCGUGCACGCGUGCCUGUGUAGCUUUUGGUUUUAUUCUUGUUUGUUUUGCAAAAAUGAAAUAAUAGCAAACAUGUGAUCCUGAAACUUUCUUCACUGAAUACGUAUCUUAGAAUCUUUAUUUUUCUUAUUAUUCAGAAUAAUUCGUUUUUUAACCUACUACUUACUCAUCAUUAAAUAUAGUUAUUUAAUCCCCUUUUAAAACCAUUUGAAUUGUUUUAAAUUUUGUCCUACUGCAAAUAAUUUCAUCAUAUUCUUUUAACCUAUAACUGCACAUAUGUUUUAGUAUUUCUGUAGGCUAAAUUUUUGGAAAUGGUAUCAGAUCAAAAAAGUUAACAUUAAAGUCAUAAUCAAUAUUCCCAAAUGUAGACACAUUUUUGAAUCUUCAAUUUAAUCACUUUCAUAAAAUUUCAACUUUCCUUAAUAAUACUUCCAAUUUAGCCCUCUCCCUCUUCCUCUCCCUCUCCCCACGGUCUCCCUCUGAUGCCGAGCUGAAGCUGUACGGUACUGCUGCCUGAUUCUCCUGCCUCAGCCUGCUGACUGCCUGCGAUUGCAGGCGUGCGCCGCCACGCCUGACUGGUUUUCGUAUUUUUUUGGUGGAGACGGGGUUUCGCUGUGUUGGCUGGGCUGGUCUCCAGCUCCUAACCGCGAGUGAUCCACCAGCCUCGGCCUCCCGAGGUGCCGUGAUCUCGGCUCGCUACAACCUCCACCUCCCAGCUGCCUGCCUUGGCCUCCCAAAGUGCCGAGAUUGCAGCCUCUGCCCGGCCGCCACCCCGUCUGGGAAGUGAGGAGCGUCUCUGCCCGGCCGCCCAUCGUCUGGGAUGUGAGGAGCCUCUCUGCCUGGCUGCCCAGUCUGGAAAGUGAGGAGCGUCUCUGCCCGGCCGCCAUCCCAUCUGGGAAGUGAGGAGCGUCUCUGCCCAGCCGCCCAUCGUCUGAGAUGUGGGGAGCACCUCUGCCCUGCCACCCCGUCCGGGAUGUGAGGAGCGUCUCUGCCCGGCCGCCCCGUCUGAGAAGUGAGGAGACCCUCUGCCUGGCAACCGCCCCGUCUGAGAAGUGAGGAGCCCCUCCGCCCGGCAGCCACCCCGUCUGAGAAGUGAGAAGCCCCUCCGCCCAGGAGCCACCCCGUCUGGGAAGUGAGGAACGUCUCUGCCCGGCAGCCACCUUGUCCGGCAGGGAGGUGGGGGGGUCAGCCCCCCGGCCAGCCAGCCUCCCCGUCCGGGAGGUGAGGGGUGCCUCUGCCCGGCCGCCCCUACUGGGAAGUGAGGAGCCCCUCUGCCCGGCCAACACCCCGUCUGGGAGGUGUACCCAACAGCUCAUUGAGAACGAGCCAUGAUGACAAUGGCGGUUUUGUGGAAUAGAAAGGGGGGAAGGGUGAGGAAAAGAUUGAGAAAUCGGAUGGUUGCCGUGUCUGUGUAGAAAGAGGUAGACGUGGGAGACUUUUCAUUUUGUUCUGUACUAAGAAAAAUUCUUCUGCCUUGGGAUCCUGUUGAUCUGUGACCUUACCCCCAACCCUGUGCUCUCUGAAACAUGUGCUGUGUCCACUCAGGGUUGAAUGGAUUAAGGGCGGUGCAAGAUGUGCUUUGUUAAACAGAUGCUUGAAGGCAGCAUGCUCCUUAAGAGUCAUCACCACUCCCUAAUCUCAAGUACCCAGGGACACAAACACUGCGGAAGGCCGCAGGGUCCUCUGCCUAGGAAAACCAGAGACCUUUGUUCACUUGUUUAUCUGCUGAC